AACAGAUUGCACCCCCAAUAGCUAUAGUUUUGAUGUUUAGGGUGGCUAAAAAUAAAAUAAAUAUCCUUAAAAUAUGAUUUUAAAGGAAACAAUCAGUAUAUACCACCUCUACAUCCUCAACUAUCUCAUAUUUGAGAUAGCUGAAUAACAUCUUUUUACACAUUUUUAUACAUUUACUAUACACAUUGAACUUGAAUUACUUCAUAACUUUAUGUGGCCAUUUCUCAAAAAAAGAAAGAAAGAAAGAGGGCAAAAGGAAAACAAACUGCACUAAAUAGCUAUAGUUUGAUGUUCAGGGUGGCUAAAAAGCAGAAUUUACCACACCUACAUACCUAAGAUGCCUUACACUUUCAUCAUGUGCAGCCCUAUUUUGACCUUACAGUUAAGUGAAGGUCCGUGUUGUGUGGUAUGCCUCAGCUCUCUGCUCUGCUGGAGUCUAACCACCAGACAUUUUGAUUUCAACAAGAGUGCUGAUGAAAAAUAAAUAAGCUGGAGGUAAAAAAAAGAGGCAGUAUUCACAUAGAAUAUUAUCAGGGCUGCUGUGUGACUGUGCCAGAGGUGACUAAGGGAAAAGAAGAAAGCAAGCUUCUGAAAUGAGGGUUCAGGAAGUAACUGAGUGUGGCUUCUUGGUGCUGCUGUGGUGACAGAACAGGCUACGUGGCCAAGGCAAGAUCUACUAAAGCUGAACAUGUACAUAUUUUAUGACCCAACAAUUCUAAUCCUGUGGCUACAUCCAAUCCAGAUAAGUGCUAUGUCUACCCUCCUGCCUGAAGUAACCAAAAAUGGACAAAAUAUAUGAAGCAAUGGUUUUUAAGGCAUUGUAUAUCAAGCAAUGAAGCAUAAUGACCCCUGAGAGAUGGGAAAUGAAUAAGGUGAGCCCUACAAUUGUACUAGUUUACUGCUUUGAGAGAGUUUCUAGGCUGUGGUGCACGGAGGAAUAACCCAGGAAGAGACUGGCAGAUUCCCUGAGUUGAAGCGAGUGCUGAGAACCCAGGGAUACCAAGAUGGCUAAAAUUCUUAAGACAGAGUACUAGAGAAGAGAGACACAGAGAAAACUCUAGAGAUCUGCAGAGAUUUGCCUAUGACAAUUCAGCUGAGUGAUUCCCAUCAUAUGUUUGUGAGGAAACUAUCUGAGGUUUAAAAAAUAAUCACUCAAAAUGAAUAGAGGAUACAGUACUCCAUGCUCACACAGGGCUGGGAAUAGUGCCUGUUUCCAUCAUCCAGACUGGAAAAACCUCAAGAUUCCUGGGGCACUGAGUAGAAUACAGAUAAAAGUCCUGCUUCAUUAGUGAGGAAUAAUUAGCCCUAGACAAGCAAUGCUCUAGUCCUGUACAACAAAUGUGGUAUGAAGAUUAUAUGGUAUUGAGUUUAUAAAAUAUGAAAAAGUAAAAUAUAUAGCAACAGUAGCAAAAUUUGGGAUGGGAGAAAUGAAAGUGAACUAUUGGACAGUUCUCAUACUAUACAUGAAGUAGUGUAUUACUCGAAGGUAGAGUAUGCUAAAGAUAUAUGCUAUAAACUCUAAAAUAACUAAACGAAACCACUAAAAUAACAAGAGUCACAGUUGUAAUGGAUAUAUCAACUUGACUGGCCUGCAGUGCCCAGGUAUGUAGUCGAACAUUAUUCUGGGUGGUUUGAUGAAAGUGACUUUGGAUGAGAUUAACAUUUAAAUCUGUGGACUUUGAGUAAAGCACAUGACCCUCCUUGAUGUGAGUGGGUCUCAUCCAGUCAGUAGAAGAUCUGAAUACAACAACAGACUGACCUCCCCAAGCAAGAAGGAAUCCUGCUGGUAGAAGGCCUUUGGACUUGUACUGCAAUACUGGCUCCUUCUUGGGCCUCCAACCUGCCAGCCUGCCUUGCAGAUUUUGGACUUCCCAGUCUCCAUGAUCAUGUGAGCCAAUUCCUUAAAAUAAAUCUCUUUUAUAUA